rnacentral:rRNA from 1 species
UACGGGGGGAGCAAGCGUUGUUCGGAUUUACUGGGCGUAAAGGGCGCGUAGGCGGCCACCGCAAGUCGACUGUGAAAUCUCCGGGCUUAACCCGGAAAGGUCAGCCGAUACUGCGGGGCUAGAGUGCAGAAGGGGCAACUGGAAUUCUCGGUGUAGCGGUGAAAUGCGUAGAUAUCGAGAGGAACACCUGCGGCGAAGGCGGGUUGCUGGGCUGACACUGACACUGAGAGACGAAAGCUAGGGGAGCGAAUGGG